ACGGAUAACAAUCCAAAUUGCACAGGAAGUAUCAAAUACAUAAACCUAACCACUAUUACAAGCAUUCAUUUUCACCACUUAGUACAUCUCAGUUUCAGUUUACAUUUUACUUCCAAUCACAAUCACAUUUAUUUUACAAGUUUGAUACUGUAAUACACUGAAUUUUUUUGCAAAUUGCGAAAUUCGAGUGUGAGGAAUGAUGUGUGGAACUAUUCUACAUGUUCUAAAAGGUUAGAACAAGUUUUUGGAUAAGUUAGAGGAUGAUUGGAAUGCUAAAAGUGAGAAAGUGCAUUGAACUGGUGAAAAUCAGCAUUUUCUGCU
rnacentral:lncRNA from 1 species